rnacentral:rRNA from 1 species
AAUUCGCCAAGCGUUGGAUUGUUCAGCCACUAAUAGGGAACGUGAGCUGGGUUUAGACCGUCGUGAGACAGGUUAGUUUUACCCUACUGUUGACUAAUUGUUGCGAUAGUAAUCCUGCUUAGUACGAGAGGAACAGCAGGUUCAGACAUUUGGUUCAUGGACUUGACCGAUCGUUCAAUGGUCCGAAGCUAACAUCUGGGAGAUCAUGACUGAACGCCUCUAAGUCAGAAUCCCACCUAGUCAAGGCAGCAAUAACUUUGUUUCCCGGUGUCGGGAGGCAACUCUCUCUCGUGGCAACACGAGAGCUCGUGCCCCAGUAUGUGGCCUUGCCGGUAUGGAUGAUCCCUGCUGGUUGCUAAAGCCAGAUCAUUCUGGUUCAAUGUCGGGGUGCAAAAUCACAUGUCUACGACAUGUAUACUGGUCAAGGUGUUGUAUCCAGUAGAGCAGUGUUUGUAUACUGCAAUCUGUUGAGACUAUCCUAGCCGAAAGGAAAAUCACAGCAGAUAAUA